rnacentral:ncRNA from 3 species
AGAAGACCCUGUUGAGCUUG